CGCAAGCCUGACGGAGCCAGACCGCGUGAGGGAAGAAAGCCUUUGGGUUGUAAACCGCUUUUCUCAGGGAAGAAGCCCUGACGGUACCUGAGGAAUCAGCCUCGGCUAACUCCGUGCCAGCAGCCGCGGUAAUACGGAGGAGGCAAGCGUUAUUCGGAAUUAUUGGGCGUAAAGCGUCCGCAGGGGGCUCAUCAAGUCUGCUGUCAAAGGUCGGAGCUCAACUCCGGUUCGGCAGUGGAAACUGGUGGGCUAGAGGGCGACAGGGGUAGAGGGAAUUCCCAGUGUAGCGGUGAAAUGCGUAGAGAUUGGGAAGAACACCGGUGGCGAAAGCGCUCUACUGGGUCGCACCUGACCCUCAGGGACGAAAGCUAAGGGAGCG
rnacentral:rRNA from 1 species